rnacentral:rRNA from 1 species
AUUGAACGCUGGCGGCAGGCCUAACACAUGCAAGUCGAACGAGUGGCGGACGGGUGAGUAAUGUCGGGGAAACUGCCCGAUGGAGGGGGAUAACUACGGGAAACGGUAGCUAAUACCGCAUACCAUCGGAUGUGCCCAGAUGGGAUUAGCUAGUAGGUGGGGUAAAGGCUCACCUGGGCGACGAUCCCUAGCUGGGCUGAGAGGCUGACCAGCCACACUGGAACGGAGACACGGUCCAGACGCCGAGGGGAGGCAGCAGUGGGGAAUAUUGCACAAUGGGCGCAAGCCUGAGGCAGCCAUGCCGCGUGUAUGAAGAAGGCGUUCGGGUUGUAAAGUACUGUCAGCGGGGAGGCGUUACCCGCAGAAGAAGCACCGGCGAACUCCGUGCCAGCCGCCGCGGUAAUAC